rnacentral:rRNA from 1 species
GUAACACGUGGGCAACCUGCCCUGCAGACUGGGAUAACUCCGGGAAACCGGAGCUAAUACCGGGUAAUACAUAGCAUCGCAUGAUGCAACGUUGAAAGUUGGCCUUUGGCUAACACUGUAGGAUGGGCCCGCGGCGCAUUAGCUAGUUGGUAAGGUAACGGCUUACCAAGGCCACGAUGCGUAGCCGACCUGAGAGGGUGAUCGGCCACACUGGGACUGAGACACGGCCCAGACUCCUACGGGAGGCAGCAGUAGGGAAUCUUCCGCAAUGGACGAAAGUCUGACGGAGCAACGCCGCGUGAGUGACGAAGGCCUUCGGGUCGUAAAGCUCUGUUGUUAGGGAAGAACAAGUACCGUUCGAAUAGGGCGGUACCUUGACGGUACCUAACCAGAAAGCCACGGCUAACUACGUGCCAGCAGCCGCGGUAAUACGUAGGUGGCAAGCGUUGUCCGGAAUUAUUGGGCGUAAAGCGCGCGCAGGCGGUCUCUUAAGUCUGAUGUGAAAGCCCACGGCUCAACCGUGGAGGGCCAUUGGAAACUGGGGGACUUGAGUGCAGAAGAGGAGAGUGGAAUUCCACGUGUAGCGGUGAAAUGCGUAGAUAUGUGGAGGGAACACCAGUGGCGAAGGCGGCUCUCUGGUCUGUAACUGACGCUGAGGCGCGAAAGCGU